GAAAUGCGAUAAGUAGUGUGAAUUGCAGAAUUCAGUGAAUCAUCGAAUCUUUGAACGCACAUUGCGCCCUUUGGUAUUCCUUAGGGCAUGCCUGUUCGAGCGUCAUCUAAACCUUCAAGCCCUGCUUGGUGUUGGGUGCCUGUCCCGCCUCCGCGCGCGGACUCACCUCAAAUCCAUUGGCGGCCCCCGCGUCGGCCACGAGCGCAGCAGAAACCCGAACUCGUGAGCCCGUCCGGGCGGCUCCCAGAAGCUACACCCACCCAGUUUGACCUCGGAUCAGGUAGGGAUACCCGCUGAACUUAAGC
rnacentral:misc_RNA from 1 species